rnacentral:rRNA from 1 species
CCCUUAGAUGUUCUGGGCCGCACGCGUGCUACACUGAGUGGAUCAGCGGGUCAGGUUGCACGAAAGUGUUUCCUAAUCUUGAAAUCCGCUCGUGAUGGGGAUUGACGGUUGCAAUUUUCUGUCAUGAACGAGGAAUACCUUGUAAGCGCGGGUCAUCAUCCCGCGCUGAAUACGUCCCUGCCCUUUGUACACACCGCCCGUCGCUCCUACCGAUUGAGUGGUCCGGUGAGGCUUUGGGAUCUGGAUGGAAAGAGCGUUUCGCUGUUUCUGCCCGGAAAACUCAGUCGAACCUUAUCAUUUAGAGGAAGGAGAAGUCGUAACA